GGGUCAUCUUUGCUGUUAAAUCUCCUUAUAUGAACUGAUCUGAAUUUGGUUUAGUGAUAGCACAUUGCAAUUGUUUAAUUACUAAGGACAUAAUUUAAGUAUGAAAUGGGUCGUUAGAUAAGAUAAUAUCGUCGCUCACUCUCUUGCUAGAGCAGCCAUAUCUGAUGCUAGUCCUUCUAUUGACAGAGAUCCUCCUAGUUUCAUUUAUAAUGUUCUUUGAAUGAUGUUCCUCAUUUAAGUUUUUUCACUUGAUAUUAUGUAUCAAGAAUUCAAAAACGUCCCUUCUUAAUCCGAGCAUAGGCUAUAGCCGCAACUGUAACGCCCCCCAAGUGUGCUGAAACUGAAAUAUUGCUAUUUCCCUCCAAUAUCUUCAAUACAUCUUUCCCAAUUAAAAAGAUACCCAAUAAGACAGCAGGAACUGGUAUAAUAAAAUCCAAGUAAAUAGUGGAUCUUGGAUUCAAGAAUAUAUCCAGCAGCAUUAUAGCAUUGAUGGCCCCACUGGCUCCCAGUCCUGGAGUUCCUGAAGGGUCCUUCACCGACAUUCCUUGUCCCUUUGUUGAUGAUAAGGCUAUGAAGGCAUGGUGUACCAAGUGAAACAGUGAACCGCCAAAUGCCCCAGCUAGAUACAACUUUAACAAGUACUCUGAUCCAAAAGUUCUUCCAAUUUUCGUCCCAAAGAAGUAAAGUACAAUCAUGUUGGAUACGAUGUGCCCAGCAUCAACAUGACUGAAUGCAGAAGUAAUCAGUGUGUGAACACGUCCACUUAUGAAAUUAUCCAAUGAAACCAUAAAGUUGUUCACCAUAAAGUUUUUAUCAACAAUCUGCCAUAGCAUAAAGACAGCAACAUUGGCACAGACCAAGCCAAAAACCAUGUUAUCAGCUGAUACCCGAUUGAACCAUAA
rnacentral:misc_RNA from 1 species